rnacentral:rRNA from 1 species
GCUGGCGGCGUGCCUAAUACAUGCAAGUCGAGCGAACAGAUAAGGAGCUUGCUCCUUUGACGUUAGCGGCGGACGGGUGAGUAACACGUGGAUAACCUACCUAUAAGACUGGGAUAACUUCGGGAAACCGGAGCUAAUACCGGAUAACAUAUUGAACCGCAUGGUUCAAUAGUGAAAGGCGGCUUUGCUGUCACUUAUAGAUAGAUCCGCGCCGUAUUAGCUAGUUGGUAAGGUAACGGCUUACCAAGGCAACGAUACGUUGCCGACCUGAGAGGGUGAUCGGCCACACUGGAACUGAGACACGGUCCAGACUCCUACGGGAGGCAGCAGUAGGGAAUCUUCCGCAAUGGGCGAAAGCCUGACGGAGCAACGCCGCGUGAGUGAUGAAGGUCUUCGGAUCGUAAAACUCUGUUAUCAGGGAAGAACAAAUGUGUAAGUAACUGUGCACAUCUUGACGGUACCUGAUCAGAAAGCCACGGCUAACUACGUGCCAGCAGCCGCGGUAAUACGUAGGUGGCAAGCGUUAUCCGGAAUUAUUGGGCGUAAAGCGCGCGUAGGCGGUUUUUUAAGUCUGAUGUGAAAGCCCACGGCUCCACCGUGGAGGGUCAUUGGAAACUGGAAAACU